CUUCCAUUAACUGAAAGAAUCCAAAUCCGUCGAGUAUGGGGGAUGCAUGGCGACGGCCGUCGCUUACUCCAAUUCCGGAGCCAUUUCCAACAGUUACAUCUCAGCCUCUACGGUGGAACAGCAAAAUAUCUGCAACCGCCAUAUUGCAAUUGCAGAUGUCUCAAAGUUGGAUUGGCAUUUUAUGGUGCAGGGCUCCAAGAAAAUCUUCAAUAUCUUUUUGAAGGUGCUUGGAGAAGGGGCAGGAUAUAGGAGGAGAAGCUGAAUUGCACUUAAACAUUUGGAUGGUCAGAGUUUGACAUGGUAAUGGAGAUGCCCACACUCACCAUUGCUCUUCUUCAGUUUAUCUUCUCUUUUUUUUUCUCUCUCUUCUUUUUUUGUGUGCUUAACACCGCCUUGAUUCAAGCAUCUUUUGUGUGUAUGCUUUUCCUUUGAGUCAACAAAGGCUGCAUCUUUGCUGGAUUAGUGACUUGUGGCAAAGUGAUGGGAAAGCUGAUCCUUCUUAGCUUAAUAGGUAGCCCUAAAGUACUUUAAAAAAAUAAAAAGGCAGCUCCAAAGGUUGUUGGUGUCU